GAUGAACGCUAGCUACAGGCUUAACACAUGCAAGUCGAGGGGAAACGAUAUUGGAAGCUUGCUUCUGAUAGGCGUCGACCGGCGCACGGGUGAGUAACGCGUAUCCAACCUGCCCAUCACUUGGGGAUAACCUUGUGAAAGUAAGACUAAUACCCAAUGACGUCUCUAGAAGACAUCUGAAAGAGAUUAAAGAUUUAUCGGUGAUGGAUGGGGAUGCGUCUGAUUAGCUUGUUGGCGGGGUAACGGCCCACCAAGGCGACGAUCAGUAGGGGUUCUGAGAGGAAGGUCCCCCCACAUUGGAACUGAGACACGGUCCAAACUCCUACGGGAGGCAGCAGUGAGGAAUAUUGGUCAAUGGACGAGAGUCUGAACCAGCCAAGUAGCGUGCAGGAUGACGGCCCUAUGGGUUGUAAACUGCUUUUAUAAGGGAAUAAAGUGGGAGUCGUGACUCUUUUUGCAUGUACCUUAUGAAUAAGGACCGGCUAAUUCCGUGCCAGCAGCC
rnacentral:rRNA from 1 species